rnacentral:rRNA from 1 species
UUGAACGCUGGCGGCAGGCCUAACACAUGCAAGUCGAGCGGGGGUAGCAAUACCCUAGCGGCGAACGGGUGAGGAAUGCUUGGGAAUCUGCCUCGUAGUGGGGGAUAACGUUCCGAAAGGAACGCUAAUACCGCAUACGUCCUACGGGAGAAAGGGGGGGAUCUUCGGACCUCUCGCUAUGAGAUGAGCCCAAGUCGGAUUAGCUAGUUGGUGGGGUAAAGGCCUACCAAGGCUACGAUCCGUAGCUGGUCUGAGAGGAUGAUCAGCCACACUGGAACUGAGACACGGUCCAGACUCCUACGGGAGGCAGCAGUGGGGAAUAUUGGACAAUGGGGGAAACCCUGAUCCAGCCAUGCCGCGUGUGUGAAGAAGGCCUUCGGGUUGUAAAGCACUUUAAGCGAGGAGGAAGGUUCGUUACUUAAUACGUAACGGAAUUGACGUUACUCGCAGAAUAAGCACCGGCUAACUCUGU